CGAGACAGAAGAGCUGGCGCUGCCCAACACUCCAGUUAUCGCCAUCAUCACUCACUGCCAUAGGCCAGAGUGAGAAAUCAUUUUAACCUUCCGGAACAUCUUUUUCUCACCUCCCAUAUCUCAUCAUCGGAAUGCUGACCAAGGGGGUCCAAAUUAUUGCGCACAGUCCCUCUAAAAAGUGAUCAACGAGACGGAAGAGUGAGCUGAUAAGUGUUGAUUUCCCGCUUCCUGUCCUCCCGACAACCCCAAUUCUGUUUCCAGCAGGGAAGGUGC